rnacentral:rRNA from 1 species
GUUUGAUCAUGGCUCAGGAUGAACGCUGGCGGCGUGCUUAACACAUGCAAGUCGAACGGGAAUUACUUUAUUGAAACUUCGGUCGAUAUGAUUUAAUUCUAGUGGCGGACGGGUGAGUAACGCGUGGGUAACCUGCCUUAUACAGGGGGAUAACAGUCAGAAAUGACUGCUAAUACCGCAUAAGCGCACAGAGCUGCAUGGCUCGGUGUGAAAAACUCCGGUGGUAUAAGAUGGACCCGCGUUGGAUUAGCUAGUUGGUGAGGUAACGGCCCACCAAGGCGACGAUCCAUAGCCGGCCUGAGAGGGUGAACGGCCACAUUGGGACUGAGACACGGCCCAGACUCCUACGGGAGGCAGCAGUGGGGAAUAUUGCACAAUGGGGGAAACCCUGAUGCAGCGACGCCGCGUGAAGGAAGAAGUAUCUCGGUAUGUAAACUUCUAUCAGCAGGGAAGAAAAUGACGGUACCUGACUAAGAAGCCCCGGCUAACUACGUGCCAGCAGCCGCGGUAAUACGUAGGGGGCAAGCGUUAUCCGGAUUUACUGGGUGUAAAGGGAGCGUAGACGGAUGGACAAGUCUGAUGUGAAAGGCUGGGGCUCAACCCCGGGACUGCAUUGGAAACUGCCCGUC